AUACUGCUGUUUUUAGUGAGUGAGGGUCCAGUGUUUCACAUUUAGUAAAAUUUAGAUAUUGUGACUAGAUCCACACUCAUUAAAAACGGUUGUUU
rfam:Lucilia cuprina strain LS Scaffold23, whole genome shotgun sequence.